UCUUUUAAAAAUAUAUUAAAAUUAUAAAUUUUAAAAUAUGUAUAUGCUGUUAUAUUUUGCAUAGAUAGGACCAGAAAAGGGUGUUAUUCAUCUAGCUACUGCAGCUAUAGUGAAUGCUAUAUGGGAUUUAUGGGCUAAAAUAGAGGAGAAACCAUUAUGGAAAUUAUUAGUUGAUAUGGAACCAGAAAAACUUGUCUCUACAAUUGAUUUCAGAUACAUAACAGAUGUUAUAACCAAAGAAGAAGCUAUAGCUAUGUUAAAAGCUCAGUAUGAUUCUAGAAAACAAAGAG